UGAGCGGUCGGCGCGACUACUGGCCUGGCACCCCGUCAGACCCGGGAGGGAGCAGCGGACCAGAUACAGGGUGUGCGUCGACCGCUGAGAG
rnacentral:SRP_RNA from 1 species